rnacentral:lncRNA from 1 species
UGCAAGUGCGAGGGCCCCGCAGGAAUUUCUGCAAGGAAUACAAUAUUAUAUGUGGUCAGCACUGAGCUGGGAACCAUGACGGAUACCAUGAUAGAUCAGACCCUCACUGAAGGAAUGAAAUGUGUUGGCCAACAUGAGAAUCAGGGGGGAGAUUGCAAUGAGCCAAGAGAGACACAGCAACCAGUGUGUGGGAAAAUUCAAGCUCUCCUAGAACCCAAGUCAACAUCCGCCUCAUAAAAGAAGUUCUGAAGGUACCUCUAUUUGCAUGGGAUUCAAUCUCCUGGCAGUCGUGGAUUUACUCAGGUAUCUACAGUACACUGAAUCAGCCUGAUGACUUGUAGGAUGAAGAGAUGAUUAAAUGCCUCUGAACUACACUGUGACAAGGAGAUGGAAAGUUGAAGCAAUAAAGUGUACUGCAGUCCUUGCUUGGUGAAAGCC